CUUCUGCCCCUCUGGAGAGUGUAUUCUACACCAGCAUUCCCACUUUAUACUGUAUGUGUUAGAUGUGGGAUUUUGAGGCUGUCCGGCAAGAAAAGGAGUCUGCAGUGGUAUCACAUCUGAUUACUGCAAGCGCUGAUGUCGAUUGAGCUCAUGGAGUCCUGUGAGGAUCCUGAUACUGAGAUCUACAGAAGUCAUGGUCACAGCAUGAGCAGUCAUGGUCAGAUGGAGACACCAGAGAUAGAGCAAAGGAAGAAGAGAGGAGAGCGGCAAGCUGCUGAUAGCAAGGAACCUUUUUGUUGACAGUCAUGGACAGUGGAUGAUAUCCCUCACCUUAGAAGUAUUUUGGUUUAGUUUCUGCAUGUGUCUGUUUGUUCAGUGACAUGAACUAAGGACUAGGACUAAGUCAUUGUUUUGAAAGUUACAACUGACUCUGAAGUCAAGUCCAAAUCCAAAAUAUUCAGUUUAGAGUCCCAAACAAGAUAUUAAUAGAUUCAUAGUAUGGAUAAAAAAUUUCAAUGAACUGCAGCAACACCUCAGUUCAACUACUAAUUCUUUAGCCCUUGGGGAGUUUAAACCAUUUUUCUUUGGGAAGAUUAUAGUUGCAGAAGUCAGGACUAAAUGAAAUAAAUUGAACAUUUAUUUUUGAAAUAAUAGCAAAUAUACUAUAAGGCCUAUAUUUGUUUAUUUUUUCUUUAUAAUAAUUGGGUUUCAGUAAUGAGUCCACAUUUAAUGUGCAUUUUAUUUGCCUAAUACCACCUUCCUUGUGGCUGAAAAAUGGAAAUUCCAUUUCCAAUUUUUCAAGUCUGUGCUAAAACAAUAUCAUAUAAUCAGUGAAAUGUUUUUCUUACUGUAAUCAUUCCUCCUGUUUAUACUGACCUUGACUGUCACAUCUGCACCUGAAAAAAUGGAACAAAAACCUUGACAACCUGAGUUUUCCAUCUCAGGGUUUGUCAACUCAGGGUUCAGGCUCAGGUUCAGUGUUGAUUAAACCUGCUGUCGGGAACAGGCACCUGAUAUGUUUCCACUUCAUUUUCAUACUUACGUACUGUAUGUGUGUUGGUAUUCCUGUAAUACCCUAUUAAAAAGAGCUGUGUGUUUAUGUCUGCACUAUUGAAUUAGUCAUCUAAAUGGAUUAUUAAACUCAAACCCUGAUGAA